rnacentral:lncRNA from 1 species
AUUUCUUGGGACAAGUUACUAAGAAUAUGCAAAUGUUGACAACCUGAGAAGAGCCAAGGUGGACUUUCUAUUCUUCAUUGUUGCUACCUUAGAUGACAACCUGGUGAAAUUUUCCUGUUUCCUUUGAUUAUGCCCUUUCUGAUUCAAUGUUUUUUAAGUUUCUAAAUACUACUAUGUAGUAUUUUAUCAUUUACAACUGAGAAAUUAAAUGCCUUAAAUCAGCAUUGUGAUAAUUCUGUUCUACAAUAACUGAGUAAUAUAAAUAUUUUUGCAUUAUCUAGCUGUUCAUUUAUCACUACUGAGCCAAAUAAUGCGACUUCAAUCUGAUAUGUAAAGUUUGUAUGAUGGUGACAUGUUACAAGAAAUUAUUUGAACUCCAUUUACAUACAAUUAUGUGUAUGUCUAAAAAUCAAGUUCAGCACGAUGAUAUAGUUUUGGAUGGAUGAAACAAACACUUGUUAAUGUUCUUUCAUGAAGAUGAAAAUGUUCAAUAGCUUGUCGAAGAUUGAAUUCUGUGAUGAUACGGAUAUUCAUAUUGAACAUAUCAACAAAUAUGGACGUUUCAGUUUUGAAUAUUAUCAGCCACACUUACAUACCAAGAAUUUAAGGGACAAAUGAUGACUGCAUAAAAUUCAGUUUUUGUAUAAAAUUCAGUUUUUGUAGAACUGAAGUUCAUAUCCCGUAAAUGAAGUUGAGAGCAUUAGCAUAUGAUUGAUAGUUGUGGACCAUGUCUUGUAACGUUGAUAGUCGUCAACCAUGUCUAGCUUGAUCAUCCCUUUGUUUGUAGUUAGUACGAGAAGAUAGCAAGUCUCAGUUUCACCUCCUUCUGAAUCUUUAUAUAACUCGGUAUGUAGGUCAAGAACAAUACCUAAUGAAAAGUGCAAUCACAUACAUUUUUGUAUUCAAUUCUGAAUUAAAUGUUACAUAGGUAAUCUACAACCAUAAUCAGUUUUCUAAAUGGAAAGAAGACAAUUAGUAAAAUCAUCUUAUUGAAGGAUGAAAAUUGAAACAUGGUGAACUGUAAUUAAUAUCUUUAGAAAAAGAACAUACUUUCCUUUGGUCUUGUGAAAGCAUUCAGCACAUUUGGAUUCCUUAUUUUGAGAAUAACCUGUAGUAAUACAGAAUAAGAUCUCAGGUUAUGAUACCUAAAAUCCAUGUUCUCAUCUGAUACAAAUUUUAUUUUUAACUCUAUUGUCGAGUAGUUUGACUUGUCACUUCUUUUCUUUCCUCUUUCGAAUAGAAUUAGUUGAGCUUUAUUGUUAAUUUUGGAAAUCUCUGUAUCACUCAUGUUGUGAUGGAAAUAUCUUGGUUAAAGCCAUAACAGUAAAUUGUCAGGAUUACAUACAAGGAAAUUCUCAUACCUUAGCUUCACUAUUGAGUGUGGCUGCUACCGACCUGAACAAGUACCUUCCUGUUUCCAUGUGAGUCAUAAGAAGGAAUAGAUAACUUAUAGUUAAUUUUGUGAAAAGUGUUUCUGAAAUGAAAGUUUGCCUUUUAUUAAAUCUUUUGACUCAUCAUAGGUUUUCUCCAAGUAAGUUUUAUACAACAUUGGAAAUUUCAUAGAUAUCAGUACCCUGAAAAUUAGAUAGAAAAGUCGGUAAUUAGGAAGGAAUUGGGAAUAUGGCCAGAAGUGUGUUUGGUUCCUGCGAGAAAUGAGAUGGGAAGUAGAACUGGUGGUAAAUCAAAUUCUUUACCUUGUUUCAUAAACAAGAAAAUGAUGAGCGGAAGUAGAAUUGAAGGGGUACUUACCCUCUUGAUAUAAUUUUUUCUAUUGAAGGUGAUAAAUGGAGGUUACACAAUGAAACUAUUUAAUUAACUUUCUAGGAAGCAACUUUCAGGGAAGUACUCAAAAAAUGACUCUUUCUACUCCUCAAGAAAGGUGGUAUAAAACCUGUGUAUGUUCCCUAGUGAGAAGUGUAUCUAUUCCUCUAUUUUCCUUUUUAUUUUUAUCAACCAAUCAUAAACAGCAUAGUUUCUAUUGUAUCACUAGAAACUGCAUAUAACUUGUGCUUAUUAAUAUCAACAUACCAUCUGUGGUCUCGAUGUUAAGUUCUGUGCCCUUUGAUAGAAUACAUUUACACUUCUCAAAAUCAAAAUCAGAUUCCUUGUUAUCCUCGAGUGGCAGCACCGGAGCACUUUCAUUUAAUUUGUUUUUGUAUCCUGAUCGUGCUUUGAGUGUAGAAGCUCCUUUUAGUGCUGCAACGAGGUUAAUCAAGAGUUGAAUUAAAAUUUAUAAUCCAGAGAAAUUCUAAAUGACAAAUGAAGACGGUACAAUAAUGAUUUACAUGAGAAUGUGCUCAAAAGAACUCUAAUUGCAAGAUUUGAAGGAUGCAAAGGACAGGAAUAUGCAUAUGUGUGUGUGCAUACAAUUUAUACUAAGUACUGUAUAAUUCAUUACAUGUUGCAGCUGCUGCGGUGAGUGUUAAAAUUUCACUUGCACUCGUGCCGUUCAUGGCUGAACCUAUUACACUGCUGAGUUGCUCCCUCUUUGCCCCCAUUGCUUCAGCCACUUUUGCACACUGUGCUGCCACUAAGGCAGCUGCAGAAGCCAUGGCCGAAUCUUUGGCAGUUAUUGUGUUCUCCAGUUUUGAGUUUUCAGCAGCUAGUGCCGCUAAGGCAGCUGCAACACCCGCCACUGAUACUGCUGCGUGUAUUUCUGCUUUUUGUAACCUGUGUUCUUCCUUUCUCUUCUGCUUAAUUUCUUUAAGCCAUUUUUUGAUUGAUGAGUGUUUGAAUGGCAUUAUUUUCCAUGACAUCUGCAUGUAAAAUAUCAGAUAUUUAGAGUACUAUCAGAACCAAAUUCUAAUACAGAGCAGCAGAUGAGGACUUACCCAUUUCCUUCUGAAAUAGCUAUUAUAGUUUAAUUCUGGGUGCAUUGCUUGUUGCAUCCAAAUCCAUGACUGAGGAAAAGGAGACAAGAUUUUGUCAAUGCAUCUGUUAUUGAUGCUUUAUUCGUGUCUAAGCACAAGGGAAUUCACGUUUCAAAAUCAUCACAUUAGUUUCAAUUUAAUAUGGAUAUAAAUAAGUUGAUACAUACACAAUUUUCUAGGUUUAGCUGUUACCUUUACAUCAUGGGAUUUCCAAGGUGGCACAAACUUGUCUGCACCAUCCAUCUUUACACUCCCUUCCAUUUUCUGCAAGUUGAAAAUAUUUUUAUUUUUCUACAUAUGAAAUCACAGCUUGCAUUCCAUGUAUGAAUUGAUGCCAGUGUUUUGUGGAGGCAUAGUUAACUCACCAUGGAAGGAGUUUUAGCAUCAUUUUCAAAUUUCAUGAGGGAUCUCUCUUGAAGAAUGAUUGAUCUAUCUUGUACAUCUGAUUGGAGAGCCUGAAUGGCGAAGUUGCACCAAGCUUGAGAAAGAAAAUCCAUUGUCUCGGGAUGUGCUUGUGUAAGUGUUGGCUUACAAUUAGGAUCCAUUUGAUUCAGAGCUAUGGCUUCAGCAAUUGAGUGUGAUUGAAUGACUGAAAGGCUACUUUGUUCAGGUAUAAAUAAACAUCAAGUAUUCAACAUAAAGUCUCUUUUGGC